AUGGUGCCGCCGCCUCCUGCAGCCCGGGAAGAGAUCGUCGAUGAUCCGCCGGCGGAGCAUCAGCCGUCGUCAUCACCAGCAACGAAGCCGUGCUGGAAGGCGACGACGAGCAGCCUUGUGUUUCUUGUGUUUCUUGCUUUGCUCGUCGGCACCAACUGGAUCCACCACGAAGCUGUUCAACAGUACUACUCGUUCCAUCCGGUCAUCGGCGGCGGCAGUUUCAGUCGGCAUGGGCGUGCUCCUGGCCGCACCCGCUCAUCGACGGCGUCCCUCGUACCCAUACCCUUCAGCUGCGGCAACGACACGUCGUCCCCGUCACUCUGCCGCCGCCGCGCAUCACCGCCAGCACCAGCACCAUCACCAUCACCAUCCUCGUCAUCACAGCAACAAUACUCCCCGGGCGUGCCGCCACCUUGGUGCCAGGACUACUUCCGCCACAUCCACACGGACAUGGAGCCAUGGCGAGCGACGGGGAUCACGCGAGACGCGGUGGAGCGCGCCCGGCCCAAUGCGGAGUUCCGGCUCGUGGUGGUCUCCGGGCGCGCCUACGUGGAGAAGGAGCCCUACGCGUUCUGGAAGGGCAACCCCGACGUCUCGCCGGUGCGCCGCGAUCUCUUCCGGUGCAACAACGACUCCGCCGCCGGCAAGGAAUGGAACGUGCGGGCGUUCAAGCAGGACUGGAAAGCCGCCCACCGCAACGGCUUCAGGGACUCCGACCUGGCGAAGCAGUGCCGGUACAGGUACAAGAUCUACGUGCAGGGACGGGCGUGGUCGGUGAGCGAGAAGUACAUCCUCGCCUGCGACUCGCCGAUGCUGGCCAUCGACACGCCCUUCGAGGACUUCUUCACCCGGGGGCUCGUCGCCGGCAAGCACUACUGGCCCAUCGACCCGGCGCGCAAGUGCGCCGCCAUUAAGUUCGCCGUCGACUGGGGCAACGCCCACCCGGGGCAGGCGCGGCGUAUGGGCGAAGAAGGCAGCGGGUUCGCGAGGGAGGAGAUGAGCAUGGACUACGUAUACGAGUACAUGCUCCACGCGCUGACGCAGUACAGUGCGCUGCUCCGGUACAAGCCCACCGUGCCCGAGAAAGCCGUGGAGGUCUGCGUCGAGUCCAUGGCCUGCCCCAGACGUGGCCGCGAGAGGGAGUUCAUGAUGGAGUCCAGGGAGAGGUACGUGGCCGGGCGCGAGCUGUGCACGCUGCCGCCGCCGUUCACUGCCGAGGAGGUAAGGGAAAUGGCUGUCAGGGACGAGCAGGUGCGAAGCAAAAUACUCCAGAUGGAGGAGGGACACUAG
rnacentral:rRNA from 1 species